AUUGAACGCUGGCGGCAGGCUUAACACAUGCAAGUCGAACGGCAACACGAAGUAGCUUGCUUCUUCGCUGGCGAGGGGCGGACGGGUGAGUAAUGAGUGGGCAACUUCCUGAUGGAGGGGGAUAACUACGGGGAACGGUAGCUAAAACCGCAGAACGCCCCAAGCCCAGGGAGGGGGAGCGAGGGGCCUCUUUCCGUCGGGUGUGCCCAGGUGGGAUUUGCUAGUUGGUGGGGGAAAGGGUCACCUAGGCGACGAUCCGUAGCGGGGGUGAGAGGAGGAACAGCCCCCCUGGAACUGAGCCACGGCCCAGACUCCUACGGGAGGCAGCAGUGGGGAAUGGUGCACAAUGGGCGGAAGCCUGAUCCAGCCAUGCCGCGUGUCGGAAGAAGGCCUUCGGGUUGUAAAGUACUUUUUGUGGGGAGGAAGGGCGUCAAGAUAAUACCUUGACUCAUUGACGGUACCGGAAGAAGAAGCACCGGCUAACUCCGUG
rnacentral:rRNA from 1 species